rnacentral:rRNA from 1 species
CCUGCCAAGCAGAGAGACCCGCGAAC